rnacentral:lncRNA from 1 species
CAGCACAAUCCCAGAGGCCUGGCUUUGCACGCACGGAUCCCGGGCGGGGUGGGGGAGAGCUGGGGCCAUCAGGGGGCCCAGGCUCUGGUCCCUUCUCCUGACCCCCAGGCCAGGGCUGGCCCUGGGCAGAGGCAGAGUGAGGGGGGGAUUGAUAGAAAGAGCCUGACCCAGCCCCAUGCCUGGUGCCUCUGUUCCUUUGGGCUAAGGCAUUUCCCCCCAAUCUCGAGUAGCAUUGCAAAUAUUUCCGAUCUGGGCAGUCGUUAACACAAUGUUAUGGGUUCUCUGUUCAGCUGGGAGAUCGCUCAGGAGAGGGACAGAAGAGGGAUUCCCGGUGGCUCUGUUUCUCUGGGGUCAGGGCUAUUCCAUCAGUCAAAUCUGCACACGGAGAUGUGUACCAUGCCAGACAGCGGGCAAUGUGGAGACGAACCCCAAGGCUCCUAUCCUCAAGAGCCCACGCUGGGCCGAGUCCUGCCUCAAUUUUGAGAAGAGAAGUUUGGGCACCUCUGCCAGGCACAAGUGGGCCCUGACCUCUGCUGCUCGUCUACAACUAUGUUGCUGGGAAAUAGCCCCCAUCUUACAUUUUCGACGUGGCAUUGGCAGCCAAACCCAGAGCACAGCUCCACAACCGAGAAGCAUCAGCCAGCUUUGCUGGUGUCCACCCUCCGGGGGCCUUGCAGCUCUAGCUCGCCUUCCUGAGGGCGGAGGCUCUCCCCACUCUGCCGCCCCGGGAGUCUGCCCUUCUCCGGCCGUUCUGCCCAGGAUUGGUUUCAUACAGGAUCUCCUCCAGCCGAGGAAGAGCAGGGCUUGCAGGAGCAGCAGGCCCAGGGCCUCGGUGGAAGGCUGGAGACACUGUGCCACUUUGGACUGAAAAAGGAGAUCAAGCGCUGAGUAAGACAGAGAAGGUCCCUGCCCUCUGGGUCCUUGUGAGCAAGGGGUGGGGGGUGGAUAUAAACCAGGAGCUAAAUAACUGAUUAACCAACUGGCUAAGUCACGAACAUUUUUAGUCAAUUAUAUUUGCUACAACGUAUGACAGCCUGUGUGCGCUGUGGGGAGGGAGGCCUGAGGAGGGUGGAGGCGUUAGGAAGGGCCUCGCUGCAAGCAGAGCAGGGAGGACGAGAGGCAGCCGGCCACGCAGCCUCUGCAGGAGGAGUCCUCGGGGAAGCAGCUGGCACCAGGCCCCGGGGGACCAGACACGUUCAAGGCCUGGGUGUCUUGGAAGUUCCCAGGGGAGCGGGGGAGCUGAUGCUGAAGAGUGAGUGGGGAGCUGGCCUCAGAAGCCUGUGGACUGUGGUCUGGGGUCUGCAGAGAUGGUUGAAUGGUUCUGAGUUCCAGCACGUUAGACCGGAUCACCUGGACG